AAGUCGUAACAAGGUCUCCGUAGGUGAACCUGCGGAGGGAUCAUUACAGAGUUUUUGCCCGCAAGGGUAGAUCUCCCACCCUAUGUUAUUCCUUCUCUGUUGCUUUGGCGGGCCGUCCGGCCUCGGUCAGGCCACCGGCUCCGGCUGGUGAGCGCCCGCCAGAGGACCCCAAACCCUAAAUAUCAGUGUCGUCUGAGUACUAUAUAAUAGUUAAAACUUUCAACAACGGAUCUCUUGGUUCUG
rnacentral:misc_RNA from 1 species